rnacentral:misc_RNA from 1 species
GGGCGUGUGAGUGGUGUUUGGAUUGUUGGGAUGGUAGGCUCCGUGCUUUUUGCAUCGAACUGCCACACCGCAUCCUUUUCAAGUGUCAAGCAUUAGUUUAAUGCUUGUGUGUCGAUCGUGUUCCUGUGUUUGAUACCCAUGUCGGAGGAACUAGGCCCCAGUUCGCCCCAUUCCUCUCGGUGCCUCUACGGGGCAUCGAGAGGAGCACGUAGUUUGAUCUUUCAAACCUAGCAUGCCUAUUUGGUUGCAACGGUUGUCGGAUCAAAUUUUGUGUUCUCGGAUCCGGAAUACUUGAUGGGUCCAAGGAUCGUAUCCUUGCAUUGGCCCAGUGUGGGAAAUCGUCCCUCGAUAAGAACGACAUCCGUUGUGCAUUGCGAAACAUCCUUUCUCCACUCGGGUUGAGGAUGUUUGUACGUGCACCGGUGUCCUCGAAGGAAUGCUACCUGGUUGAUCCUGCCAGUAGUCAUAUGCUUGUCUCAAAGAUUAAGCCAUGCAUGU